rnacentral:misc_RNA from 1 species
GUGGUGGCACUUUUGAUGUUUCAGGUACUUUGAUUGUUGCCUGAAAUACUUGCUUCCAUGGUUUCACUUGUGUUUUUAUUUUGGAGAUUAAGUUGUUAUCGGUGAUAAUUUUUUCUGAUGAUUCCCUCUGCUGAUUCACAAAGUUCUUUUGGUUGUAUCACAUUUACAAAGUACAAAAUCAUGAUAAUAUUUUUCUUGCUUAGUUUUAAAAUAAUUCCAUUCCACACUGUAAAAUUCUGUUUUCAUUUCCUAAUAUCCUGACUGCAGUGCUUGAAGUUGGUGAUGGAG